rnacentral:rRNA from 1 species
UACGGAGGGUGCAAGCGUUAAUCGGAAUUACUGGGCGUAAAGCGUGCGCAGGCGGUUUGUUAAGUCUGUCGUGAAAUCCCCGGGCUCAACCUGGGAAUGGCGAUGGAUACUGGGCAGCUAGAGUGUGUCAGAGGAUGGUGGAAUUCCCGGUGUAGCGGUGAAAUGCGUAGAGAUCGGGAGGAACAUCAGUGGCGAAGGCGGCCAUCUGGGACAACACUGACGCUGAAGCACGAAAGCGUGGGGAGCAAACAGG